rnacentral:misc_RNA from 1 species
GGCCUAACUACAUAAAUGCAAAGCAUGGAUGGGAAUGUAAUAAAAAAUAAACAUGCACAGAAGAAAGAAAGUGAAAGCCAUUUUCAAAAAGAAAGUGACUAUCUAGUCCUCCACUAAGAUCUNNNNNNGGUCGGAAGCACCAUGUUUCUUCUGCCAUAAAUUUCAAAAAAGGUUCUUUUUCUUUGUCUCAUUGGUCUUUGUUCUUGUCUACAACUCUAAAUUUUAUAAUAUUUCCCUGGAACAUUUAAGCACUCCAUAGUUGAAGCAUCGAUGGUGGAUGGUCGGUUAGCUUUUUCCCAUCUUCUCAUUUGUCCAUAUUCUGAAUUUUUCUCUGAAAAUUUUCAUCAGAAGAAGCCUAUCCUUGAAAAAAAAAAGGACUUUCUCCACAUCUGAUCACACUCUGCUCUGAAAGGUAAGCAAUGGUUAUUUUCUUUAUCUGAUAAGGUAUACUACAGGCUGGCUUGCUGGUAUCAAUCGAGGGCACUGUCAUCUGCACCAAGCUUGCCCACAGAAAGAGUGAAGUAUAUUAGCAACAUUGUUCCCAUGCUUGAUAAGGUGGCAAAAAAGAAAAGAAUUCUUUUGGGAUCAAUUGCCCAUGAAGAAGGAGAACGUUUGAAACUGUUUCUCCUGAUGGUGCAUCUGCUUUCUGUGGAGGCAUUCAGAUUGCCAGUUGUAGUAGUAAUGGUGAUCUGGUGAUGAACUUGUGAGUUGCUAGAAUGAUCAGUGGUCCCAACCGCCACCAACGAGGCUUUUUCAGACAUGCUAGGCCCUCUGGGUGAGGAGGAGGAAGCAGCAAUAGUGUUUCUGUCAUGAGGAGAAGGAUCAGAAUUAAUAUUCUUCUCGAUGCAACCUCCGCCACUGCCACCGCGUAGAGAUCCUUUUCUGGAAUGGCUUCU